rnacentral:lncRNA from 1 species
UUGCUAUAGGUGUAAUUAAAGAAUGAUCAUUACCUCUGGGACUGUAUGAAAAUGAAAUGGUAUGAAGAAAAGAUACUGAGCACAAUAACAAAGAGUAAGGAAAGAAAAAAGAGAGAGAGAGAGAAUACAGAUGUAAACUGCAGAAAUCCUGACAUUCUGGAGUAA